rnacentral:rRNA from 1 species
AAACUUUCAGCAACGGAUCUCUUGGUUCUCGCAUCGAUGAAGAACGCAGCGAAUUGCGAUAAGUAAUGUGAAUUGCUGAUUUUCGUGAAUCAUCGAAUCUUUGAACGCAUAUUGCGCUCUAUAGUAUUCUAUAGAGCAUGCCUGUUUGAGCGUCAUUU